rnacentral:sRNA from 1 species
CAAAAAUAAAACCCAUUUAAGUCUCAUCUUAUAAACAGAUACAUUUAUUAAGAAAAGAGGAUCUGAGACAAAAAAAUAAAUGCAAAUUUUUUUUUUCUUGUUUUCUUGAACUAACACACAGAAAUUGUGAAUGAUGAGAAAACACAGAGGAAGAGAGAGAGAGGAAUUUCAACCUGUAUGUGAACAACAAUGGCAACGGACGGUGGUGAAUGAGAGUGUUAAUAUCUUGAAAGGGAUCGAAGGUGUUCAACGAGUCCAAUCGAAGUUCGACGAGGGACGCAGAUUAAGGUUGCAUUCUUCCUACCUACUGAUGGAGCCGUGAUCUGAAGAAUGCAAUGCAAAAGCAAACAAAAAUUAGGGUUGGAAUUGAAGCAGGGGAAGAGAAACGAGGAAAAUAAGAGAGUGAGUUACGAGAACGUUGGGACAAUCCAUCUGAAAAAUUGAGGUGAGAAUGGAAUUUUGGAAGAAUUAUUUUGUUUUGUUAUUGUUAGGAUAGACUUCACAGCCCAUGCGUUACUGUACUUAGCCAAUCAAACUGAUCUGUUUAUCCUUUUCUUUAUUUUUUUUCACCAAAAAACAACCAUUAAUGAGUGAAAAAGACUAACAUAUCCAAAAGAUAUUUGUGGACUCAUGAAUAAGUUGGAUGAAAAUAUUGAUUUUAUUUUACAGUAAUGGGAUGAUCUGAAAAG